UACGGAGGGUGCAAGCGUUAUCCGGAUUCACUGGGUUUAAAGGGCGCGUAGGCGGCCACCGCAAGUCGGUUGUGAAAUCUCUGGGCUUAACCCAGAAAGGUCAACCGAUACUGCGGGGCUAGGGUGCAGAAGGGGCAACUGGAAUUCUCGGUGUAGCGGUGAAAUGCGUAGAUAUCGAGAGGAACACCUGCGGCGAAGGCGGGUUGCUGGGCUGACACUGACGCUGAAGCGCGAAAGCUAGGGGAGCGAACGGG
rnacentral:rRNA from 1 species